UCCUGGAAAAUGGGGGAAACCCUGAUCCCCCCCUGCCGGAAAGUUAUUAAGUCCGGAAAGAAUGUGAAGGUGUUUUGUGUUGUAAGAUAAUGACGGUACCGCAAGAAUAAGCCCCGGCUAACUUCGUGCCAGCAGCCGCGGUAAUACGAAGGGGGCAAGCGUUGCUCGGAAUCACUGGGCGUAAAGGGUGCGCAGGCGGUUUUUCAAGUCAGAGGUAAAUCCCGGGGCUCAACUCCGAACUGCCUUUGUACUGGAAUCUUAGUUUGGAGGGGGGGGUGAAUUGCAGUGAGCGGUAAAUUCGAAUUUGGAAGAACACCAAGUGGAAGGAGCUCCCUGCCCACUCUGCGUGUACAAAUCGUCUU
rnacentral:rRNA from 1 species